rnacentral:rRNA from 1 species
AUUGAACGCUGGCGGCAUGCCUUGCACAUGCAAGUCGAACGGCAGCACGGGAGCAAUCCUGGUGGCGAGUGGCGAACGGGUGAGUAAAGUAUCGGAACGUGCCCAGUCGUGGGGGAUAACGUAGCGAAAGUUACGCUAAUACCGCAUACGAUCUAUGGAUGAAAGCGGGGGAUCGCAAGACCUCGCGCGAUUGGAGCGGCCGAUAUCAGAUUAGGUAGUUGGUGGGGUAAAGGCUCACCAAGCCGACGAUCUGUAGCUGGUCUGAGAGGACGACCAGCCACACUGGGACUGAGACUCGGCCCAGACUCCGACGGGGGGCAGCAGUGGGGAAUUUUGGACAAUGGGCGCAAGCCUGAUCCAGCCAUGCCGCGUGCAGGAUGAAGCCUUCGGGUUGUAAACUGCUUUUGUACGGAACGAAAAGGUUUGGCCUAAUAAGCUGAGCUCAUGACGGUACCGUAAGAAUAAGCACCGGCUAACUACGUGCCAGCCGCCGCGGUAA